CGCACGCACGCACACAUACUACUAUUAUCAUGACACAUAUACAGCACUAUGGUUGAACACCAUGAGAACACCAAACAAAGUUGAGAGAGGAAGGAGAGGCAAAAAGAGGGAGAGUAAAGAGGAAGAAGAAAGGAAGGAGAGAAGAAGGAGAGAGUAAACAGACAAGAAGGGAAGUAGAGAAGAAGAAGAGAGGAAGGAGAGAGUAAACAGACAGGAAGGGAAGUAGAGAAGAAGAAGUAAGGAAGGAGAAAAGAAGGAGAGAGUAAACAGACAGGAAGGGAAGUAGAGAAGAAGAAGAGAGGAAGGAGAGAAGAAGGAGAGAGUAAACAGACAGGAAGGGAAGUAGAGAAGAAGAAGAGAGGAAGGAGAGAAGAAGGAGAGAGUAAACAGACAGGAAGGGAAGUAGAGAAGAAGAAGAGAGGAAGGAGAGAAGAAGGAGAGAGUAAACAGACAGGAAGGGAAGUAGAGAAGAAGAAGAGAGGAAGGAGAGAAGAAGGAGAGAGUAAACAGACAGGAAGGGAAGUAGAGAAGAAGAAGAGAAGAAGGAGAGAAGGAGACAGGAAGGGAAGUAGAGAAGAAGAAGAGAAGAAGGAGAGAGUAAACAGACAGGAAGGGAAGUAGAGAAGAAGAAGAGAGGAAGGAGAGAAGGAGACAGGAAGGGAAGUAGAGAAGAAGAAGAGAAGAAGGAGAGAGUAAACAGACAGGAAGGGAAGUAGAGAAGAAGAAGAGAGGAAGGAGAGAGUAAACAGACAGGAAGGGAAGUAGAGAAGAAGAAGAGAUGAAGAAGGGAAGUAGAGAAGAAGAAGAGAGGAAGGAGAGAGGAAACAGACAGGAAGGGAAGUAGAGAAGAAGGAGAGAAGAAGGAGAGAGUAAACAGACAGGAAGGGAAGUAGAGAAGAAGAAGAGAGGAAGGAGAGAAGAAGGAGAGAGUAAACAGACAGGAAGGGAAGUAGAGAAGAAGAAGAGAGGAAGGAGAGAAGAAGGAGAGAGGAAACAGACAGGAAGGGAAGUAGAGAAGAAGAAGAGAGGAAGGAGAGAAGAA